UUGGUUCAUAACAAAGGUUAGUUUCUCUGUUUACUUUCUGUUCCAUAACCUAUCUCUUAGUGAGAGUAGGUUGAAGUCCACAAUUAUUAUUGUGUUGGUUUGAAUAUGUGAUUUGAGCUGUAGUAAUAUUUCUUUCACCAAUGUGAGUAUCUUUACAUUUGGGGCAUGGAUGCGCAGAAUUUAGAUACCAUCUUUGUGGAUUUUUUUUCUUUGAUAAAUAGGAAGUAUCCUUCUCCAUCUCUUUUUGAUUACUUUUGGUUGAAACUCUAUUUUACUAGAUAUUAGAAUGGCUAUUCCAGGUACUUUCUUGGGUCCAUUUGCUUGUAAUACCCCUUUGUAGCCUUUUAAUCUGAGGUAGUGUCUGUCUUUGAUGCUGGUGUGUGUUUCUUGUAUGCAGCAGAAUGAUGGAUCUGGUUUACAUAUCCAAUCUGCUAUCCUGCAUCUUUCUAUUGGUGAAUUGAAUCCACUGAUAUUGAGAAAUAUUAAUGACCAAUGAUGGCUAGUUCCUGUGUGUGUGUGUGUGUGUCUGUGUGUGUGUGUGUGUGUGUGUGUGUGUGUGUACGCAUAUAUAUAUGAAUUUUGUAAGUAGCUGAAUACAUCAACCUGAUUCGCAUAUUUUUGUAUGUGUCUCUCUGUGUGGUAUAUAUGAAUAUGUGUCCACAGGGUCACAGGGCACCAAGAGGCCUAAAGCUAAGCGGAUAUUAUGUCAUUUCUUGAUUGCUCUCCACUUUAAUCAUUGAAGCAAAGCAUUGAAAGUGAACCCACAGGUUAUGAUUAGGACAAAUAUAGCCUUACAGAGACACCUUGUCUUUGUCUUUUGUCACAAGGAUCACAGGAGUUGACAAUCUACCAGCUAUCUCCACAGUCACAGACUUCUAUUUUUACAACUCUUCUACUCAACAGUUGGCAUUUAUUGUAUACUUUUCUCUCAGAGCUUUUCAUAAAGUGACAGUAGGCAAUCAAAUUUAAUUUAAUUAAUCUCAGUUAAUUAAUCUCAGUUAACUAAACUUUAUUAAAAUUAAUCAUAAGCCACCCUCACAUUCAGAACAAAGGCAAUAGAAGUUGGGUGUGGGUGACAAUUCUGACUAGAGAUAAAGGAGCUGAGAAUCUCCUUGUCGAUUAAUGGAUCAUAAGCUGUGAGGAUAUUCAAGUUGGUUAAAAAUUAUUUAAUCUAAGUUUCACUUUUAUUUAAUUGAUUUACAUUUUAAUUUUUAGUUAACUCUAUAGGUGUGGGUAUGUUUUACUGCAUGUAUUACUAUUUGCCUACCUGGUAUUGGGGAGGUCAGAAAAAGGUAGUGGAUCCCCCAGAACUGGCAUUCAAAUGGUUGUGAGCCUCCAUGAAGGUGGCACAAUUAAAAUUGGUCCUUCUGAAGAGAAGCCAGUGCUCUUAAUCACUGAGCAAUGUUCUAUACCAUAUAAUGUUAAAGGACUUCAUACAUAAAGGAAUUAAUAAUAACAAAAUACUUUCCAAAUUCUUAAAUUCUAUUAUCAUCAAGAUUCUAUUAUAUGUAUUUGUAAAAAUCAGUUAGUCUUUUCUCUAAGUUCUUUUUGUGCCUUCAGAAUUAAAUAGAGAUUAAAAUAUAGGAUUUAUGAAAAAUAUCAUUUGUAAGGAUUAGAAAUAUAUAAUACCUAUUUUACUUAUAAAAGAAACUAUACUAAUUUUUUAACUGGGGUUUAAAACAAAGAAAGAAAAUGGUUUUAAAAUACAUGCAAAGCCUUAGAGAAACAAGUCAAAAAGAGACUGAUUUUCCUUUCUUUAUUAUCUCUUAAAAUAUGUCCUAUAUAACACAGCUGGAUGUUUUUAUAUCACAUCUAUUUGCUGACAAGUCCAAAUGCAUGCUCACUAAUAAUAUAAAGCAAAAUAAAACAAUAUUACCAUGUUUAAUGGUAGGGGAUUGAAUUGAAACAUGACAGAAAGAUAAGAAUUCUCAUUCUCAAAAUAGCACAACCUGUCACCCAAGACCAUUUUUACCAUUUUGAAACUUUCUGUUUCAUUUUGCUCUCUGCUUUGAAUUGAACUCUUUGCACUGAUAAAUUUGUUUUGAUCUCAGUUUAUUACAAAAGUAAACAGUCAUGCCAUUUCCUGUUUGACCUUUUUAUAAGGGCCUUAAUCUUCUAACACUAUGUUUUAUUGAUGAGAUAUUAGUUUAAAAAAUAAGUGCUUUUUUUCUUAAAUAUCCCAAUAUAGUUUUAUAAUAGAAAUACUUUAUGAAAGCCUUAUUUAAUUUUUCACCCAUAUUAUCAGAAACUUUUUGAGAAAAGGCUUAUAUUUUAGAAAUAUUAUUAAAUUAAAAAUAAGACUUUUUUUGAGGCUAGAGACAUGACUCAGUAGCUAAUAAUAUUUGCUAGUCUUACAGAGGGCUGUGGUUUCAUUUCCAGAACCCAUGUGGGAGCUUCCAAUCCUCUAUAACACCAGUUCUAGGAAAUCUGUCAUCUGCUUCCAGUAUCUGCAUACAUGUGGCAUAUAUGUAACCAAAUCAAACAUACACAAAUGAUGUCGAGUCCAUUGACAUCAGAGAGGCUUCAACUAGCUACGGAUAGAAACAGAUGCAUAGAACUGGGCCAAAAUUAGGCAGAGCUUCGGGAAUCCUAUAGAAGAGGAAGAUCAAUUAUAGGAACCAGAAGGGUCAAAGACAAUACAAUAAUCAACUAACCUGUUCUCAUAGGAGCUGAAAGUGACUGUACCAACAACCAGGAAGCCUGCAUGAAACUGACCCAGGUCAUCUGCAUAUAUGUUAGAUCUUUAAAAAAAAAAAAAAAAAACUCCUAACAAUGGAAUAAAGGGCUCUCUGAUAUUCUUGCCUGCUUUUGGAACCUGUUCUUCCUACUGAGUUUCCCACUCUACACUUAAAAGAAGAAUAGGUGACACUUUAAUAUGCCAUAGCUGGUUGACACCCAUGGGAAUCCUGGCAUUUUCUGAACAGAAACAGAGAAAGACCAUAUGGGGGACCAGAAUGGCAAGGGAAGAGGGAAAGUGUAUGUGGGUCAACUUGUUGGGUAAAGGUGAAAAAGAGAAGGCUGUUGUUCAGAUAUAAAUAAAUAAAAAGAUAAAUAAAUAACUGACUGAAUGAGAAUGAAUAAGAGAGAGAGGAAGAGAGAGAGAGAGAGAGAGAGAGAGAGAGAGAGAAGAAAGAAUUUAGACCUAUCAGAUUUACACCAGACUUCUCACCAGAGACUAUGAGAGCCAGAAGAUCUUGGACUAAUGUCAUACAGACCUUAAGAGAACACAAAUGCUAGGCCAGGUUACAGUAUCCAGCAAAAUUCUCAAUUAACAUAGAUGGAGAAACCAAGAUAUUCCAUGACAAAAACCAAAUUUAUACAAUAUCUUUCUACAAAGCCAGUCCUACAAAGGAUAAUAAAUGGUAAACCCCAACAUAAGGAGGCAAGCUACACCCUAGAAAAAGCAAUAAACUAAUCGUCUUAGCAACAAAACAAAGAGAAUCAAAGCACACAAACAUAAUCUCACAUCCAAAUACGAAAAAAGCAGGAAACAACAACCACUAUCCCUUAAUAUUCCUCAACAUCAAUAGACUCAAUUAUCCAAUAAAAAGACAAAGAUUAACAAGCUGGAUACGCAAAGAGGACCCUGCAUUCUGCUGCCUACAAGAAACACACCUCAGAGACAAAGACAGACACUACCUCAGAGUGAAAGCUUGGAAAACAACUUUCCAAGCAAAUGGUCUGAAGAAGCAAGCUGGAGUAGCCAUUCUAAUAUCUAAUAAAAUCGAUUUUCAACGAAAGUCAUCAAAAAAGAUAAGGAAGGACACUUAAUAUUCAUCAAAGGAAAAAUCCACCAAAAUGAACUCUCAAUCCUCGAUAUCUGUGCUCCAAAUAAAAGGACACCUACAUACAUAAAAGAAACAUUACUAAAGCUCAAAGCACACAUUGCACCUCACCAAAAAAAAAAAAAUAGUAGGAGAUUUCAACACACCACUCUCACCAAAGGACAGAUCAUGGAAACAGAAAUUAAGCAGAGACAUAGACAGACUAAGAGAAGUCAUGAACCAAAUGGACUUAACAGAAUUUAUAGAACAUUCUAUCCUAAAACAAAAGGAUAUACCUUCUUCUCACCACCUCAUAGUACUUUCUCCAAAAUAAUGACCAUAUAAUCAGACAUAAAACAGGCCUCAACAGAUACAGAAAUAUAGAGAUAAUCCCAUUCCUCCUAUCAGACCACCACGGGCUAAAGCUGGUCUUCAAUAACAAUAAGGGAAGAAUGCUUACAUAUACAGGGAAGUUGAACAAUACUCUACUCAAUGAUAACCUGGUCAAGGAAGAAAUGAAGAAAGAAAUUAAAGACUUCUUAAAAUUUAAUGAAAAUGAAGGUACAACAUACACAAACUUAUGGGACACAAUGAAAACUGUGCUAAGAGGAAAAUUCAUAGCUCUGAGUGCCUGCAGAAAGGAACAGGCGAGAGCAUAUAUCAUCAUCUUGAAAGCACACCUGGAAGCUCUAGAAUAAAAAGAAGCAAAUACACCCAGGAGGAGUAGAAGGCAGGAAAUAAUCAAACUCAGAGCAAAAUCAACCAAGUAGAAACAAAAAGGACUAAACAAAGAAUCAAAAGAACCAAAAGCUGUUUCUUUGAGAAAAUCAACAAGAUAGAUAAACCCUUAGCCAGACUAAUAAGAGGACACAGAGAGUGUGUCCAAAAUCAGAAAGGAGAAGGGACACAUAACUACAGAAUCAGAGGAAGUUCAAAGAAAAUCAUUAGAUCCUACUACAAAAGCCUACAUUCAACAAAACUUGAAAUUAUGGAGGAAAUGGACAAUUUCCUAGGCAGAUACCAGGUACCAAAGUUAAAUCAGGAACAGAUAAACCAUUUAAAAACCCCAUAACUCCUAAAGAAAUAGAAGCAGUUAUUAAAGGUCUCCCAACCAAAAGGAGCCCAGGUCCAGAUGGGUUCAGUACAGAAUUCUAUCAGACCUUCAUAGAAGACCUCAUACCAAUAAUAUCCAAAUUAUUCCACAAAUUGAAACGGAUUGAGUGCUACCAAAUUAUUUCUAUGAAGCCACAAUUACAUUUAUACCUAAACCACACAAAGACCCAACAAAGAAAGAGAACUUCAGACCAAUUUCCUUAUGAAUAUCGACACGAAAAUACUCAAUAAAAUUCUGGCAAACCGAAUCCAAGAGGACAUCAAAACAAUCAUCCAUAAUGAUCAAGUAGGCUUCAUUCAGGUAUGCAGGGAUGGUUUAAUAUAUGGAAAACCAUCAACGUAAUCCACUAUAUAAACAAACUGAAAAGUAAAAACCACAUGAUCAUUUCAUUAGAUGCUGAGAAAGCAUUUGACAAAAAUCAACACCCCUUCAUGAUAAAAGUCCUGGAAAGAAUAGAAAUUCAAGGCAGAUACAUAAACAUAAUAAAAGUCAUAUACAGCAAAUCAAUAGCUAGUAUUAAACUAAAUGGAGAGAAAUUUAAAGCAAUCUCACUAUUAUCAGAGACUAGACAAGGCUGCCCACUCUUAUUCAAUAUAGUUCUUGAAGUUCUAGCCAGAGCAAUCAGACAACAAAAGGAGAUCAAUGGGAUACAGUUUGGAAAAGAAGAAGUCAAAAUAUCACUAUUUGCAGAUGGUAUGAUAGUGUAUUUAAGUGAUCCCAAAAGUUUGUCCAGAGAACUACUAAACCUGAUAAACACCUUCAGCAAAUUGGCUGGGUAUAAAACUAACUCAAAUAAAUCAGUAGCCUUCCUCUACAAAAGAGAGAAACAAGCUGAGAAAGAAAUUAGGGAAACCACAACGUUCAUAAUAGUCCCAAAUAACAUAAAAUACCUUGGUGUGACUUUAACCAAGCAAGUGAAACAUCUAGAUGAAGCUGAGUUCUCCAUGAAGUUCUAAGAUUAGAACUAUUAACAAAAAAAGAAGUGGGGAAUGUAGAACUAGAGUUUCAUAAAGGUUACUCAUUGUCAGAGCCCGAAUGUGCAGAACUAGAGUUUCAUAAAAGUUGCUCAUUGUCAGAGUCCGGAUGUGCAGGGCCGGACGUGCCUGAGGGAGAGCCAGAGAUAGGACUUGCCAAACCAGCUAUCAGCCCCAAGGACACUGACCAUCUGUAGCCACCCCCUCCCCUUCCUUCACCCCCCUGAGUGAGAUGAGCCACCCUAGUGCCGAGCUGCUAGAUAACACAUACUCCUUGCUGAUGUCAUUUCGCGCUGAAAGUAACCGUGCACCUUUUGAAUUGACCAAUCAUGUGUAACCGCGCGAAUGCCCCUUACCUCCCCUAUAUAAACCCCCGAGUUUGGAAGCUCGGGGUCGAUUCCUCUGUCUCCUGUGUGAGAUACGUGUCGACCCGGGAUCCCGCUAAGACCCGGGAUCUCGUUAAUAAAAGCUACCUCUUGCUGUUACAUCAAGAAUGGCUACUCGUGAUUCCUGGGGGCACCCCACCCCAUGAUCGGAGCGAGAGACACGGCUCCCCGUUUUGGGGUACGCUCUUUCGUUUGGCGGCUCGUCCGGGAUCGGAGUGUGACCCCCCGGAACCCCGAAUGCCACUUGGAGGUACGUAAGUGUGAGUGCUGGAAAGCGGCCGCUGAAUGUGUGCGUGUGUGUGUGUGUGUGUGUGUGUGUGUGUGUGUGUGUGUGUGUGAAUUAAGUCCUAUAGUCUGUGUUUUUUGGUACCGGUUUAGUGUCUUGGUGCACUGUCUGGGCAGAAGAAGGAUUCCUGCCCUGUGCACAAGAGUCUUAGUGCACUGUCUGGGCAGAAGGUUUCCUGCCCUGUGCAUGGGUGGAAGAAGGUUCCCCACCCCGUAGAAAGCUAGCUUGGGAGUGCUCUGUCGGGGUAGAAGGAGGAUUCCUGCCCUGUGCAUGGGUGGAAGAAGGUUCCCCACCCCAAAAUGGCGCCUGUGAGUAGAUGAAGGAUUCCUACUCCGAAUAGUCUUUUUCUUUCUUUUUUCCUUUUUAGAAAGCACACCGGGGGAUGCCCCAAUCGUGCAGGCUCUGGGACGCAUGAGAGACGUUCCGCGAGCCAGCCUUUGUCGGGAGGACCCGGCAACUAGCAGUCAAAAAGAUCUGACUGUGAUAACCCCUUUGUCUUUGAUGGUGGACCAUUGGAUGGAUGUUAGGGCAAGGGGAUACUCUGGAAUUCUGUUGGGAGGUAAAAUCAGAUGGUUCUAAGAAACUUAAUCUUAUGGACCCCGCUCUAGUGGCGGUGUGUUGGUUGAUAGCCAAAGUUAAUUUUUAAAACGGUGUUUUAUCUGUGCUUGUGCUCGCAGCCAGCUGUGAUAAGCUGGGGAAGAUUUAAAUUUUGCUUGGGAGUAAGGAAUCUUUUUUUUUUUUUUUUGGUUCUUUUUUUCGGAGCUGGGGACCAAACCCAGGGCCUUGCACUUCCUAGGUAAGCGCUCUACCACUAAGCUAAAUCCCCAGCCCUGGGAGUAAGGAAUCUUAAAGGCGGAGUUUCAGCCGGUUUGACACUUAGUGCAUAGCUGCCAAAAAGAUCAGAAAUGUUGUCAACAGGCUAUAAAAAAAAAAAAAGGACAGGCUGUGUUAGAAAUGCUACAGGAAGGAAGAAUGAUCUAAAAAGGCUGAGAGCUAGGUGGGAGAGGACUAUAAGGAAAAGAAGAACAAGAAAGGAAUUUCUGACAUUUGCUCACAGAAGGAGAGCGCUCAUUUAGAGAAGUUCUUUAAGGAAGCCUGCCUUAUCUUCUGUCUUUAUUCCAAGGGAGGAGUCAGUCUCCAGCACUAAAUUACUUUUCUCGUUGGUCAUCAUUAACAUGGAGAGUGCCUUUGGUCCUAUUCCCACAGCAGCCAGUUCCUGCCCCUAUGGUCAAAAUGCCCCGGGUUGGGGGACAAAAAGAGCCCCUAAAAUAGUUUCAAAGAAUCUACAACGAGCUGUAAAGAACUUUGUUUUGUUUUGCCAGUCAAGAUUUAGAAUUCAGGCUUUGGUGGUGGCCAAGGUCAGGAUUAAUGUUUUCUUUUCCAUGGGCCUUUUAAACCCAGUGAGACAGUUUGGGAAAGGGCUACUACUGAGGUCCUGAUAGCCACAGGUGAACUGGGUACGAUUCUUUUGUCAGCCACCUGGCAUCUAGCAACCAGGUUCUAACCAUCUCUCCAUCCUUUUGUUAUUAGUUGUUACUAAAAGCCUAGUGUCAUUUGGAGGCUAGUUCUCUUGAGAGACAAAGCCACGGAGAUGACACUGAAGAGAGAUGCUCCUUGAGGGAAAAUCUAAGUCUAGAGAGAUAGUCGAUAACAGAUCGGCUGCCUCUCUGCUCACCUUUCUGUUUCAUAGACAAAGCUUGUGCUUAUUUGUACAAUGGCCUUUUCAUUCCAAGAAAGGCCUCCUGGUUUAGCUGUGUGAUUAAGUGCUGUUUGCCCUCUUCAGUAGACCUCUAUUCUCAAGAUUCUCUUGUUUUCUCACCAUCCCAUUUGAGAUGCUUGUUAGUAACUGUUACAGGUCUUCUUUACCACCGAGGAAAGACGGAAUCCUACUAGAGGCCAGAAAAAAAGGUUCCAACAUGGAUAGAAGGCCCUCACUUCUGCCUGCUCUCUUCAGACGCCUGAAGGUAGGGAGUGCUCCAGGUCUGCCGCCAGGCUCCAAGGGUGGGUCUCUGAGGGGCUGGAAAAUGCCCCACCAAUUGGCUAAGAUAAGGAAAGGAUAUGAAGAGAAAGUUACAGAAACUUGAAAGGUUAAGCUAAGUCACUGAGAGAGUUAAUGUAAGUUGCAGAGAAAAAUAGCUGUAGAAGAAGGUGCAGACAGAGAGAUUGAAAAAAAGAAAGAAAGAGGAUAAAAAGAGCAGGAAGCUAGGGAAGAAAAGAGACAAAAAGAAGAGGAAGUUAGAGAGCUAAAGAGAGAUAAAAGACAAGAGAGGAACAUAUACUGGCCGCAGUAGUUAGGGAACCUAGGAAGAUAGUACCUGGCAACAGAAGAGAAUUCCUCGCUAAAGAUCAGUGUGCCUAAUGCAAAGAAAAAGGACACUGGGUCGGGGACUGCCCAAGAAAGAACAAGAGGGGCCACUGGAGAGCUUCUUGGUCCUAGAGUGUUGGCUAUGUACAGAGAUAGAAGGGAAGUGUGGAUACAGGGACCCAAUGCUCUGUGCUCCUAUGCCCCCCACCCCCCCAGUGGGCCAAUAUCCAAAGACCUUGAGUGCAAGGGGCUACUGGCAACGAACAAUACUUAUGGACUGCCUGAAGAACAGUGGACCUUGGCGUGGGCCUGGUAACCCACCCACUAUUUCAUGAUCAUCUCUGACUGCCCCUAUCCCUUGCUCAUGAGAAAAUUGCUCUCCAAAAUGUCUUGCGUGGGCUAAAAUGACUGGGUGAGGCCAUGUGUAUGCAUAUCUAAAGACUGUGUAUGUGGAGCUUAAGACCUGUCUCAGUGCACCAGUACCUGAUGCUGGGAGAUGUGUGGCUUAGUGCUGUUCUGCCUGGAACAUAUCAUUCCUGCCAGCUGAGCACUAACAAUUAUCACCCAAUCCAGGACUUAAACUGUGAUAGAGUGGCUGAUGUUUUGCCUUUGAAUAGAGUGUCCCAAAAGAUGGGACCACUGGUCAGCUGCCAUGGACUAGAUUCUCCACCGGUUGGGGACAAUCUGGUCACCUUGCUGCCCAAUCCGGACCUGGAGGCACCACAGCAUGAGUUUCAAGCACUGGCAGAAGCCCAUGGGUGGAGGAAAGAACUCUGCGACUGGUUGAUUGACCUCUGCUGAAAGCCGAGGCUACCUUGUCUACAGAUGGGAACAGUUCUCUUCAUGAAGGUCAGAGAUAAGUGGGUGUUGCCAUGGUGGACAACAUAAUGUCAUCUGGGAUGGCUGAACCUCAACCCCCCAGUACAUCAGUGCUGCAGAUGCCUUUGCCAUCUCUUGGAUGCCCUAGUGAAGCCAGCAACUGUGAGUACUAUUCAUUGCUCAGGAUAUCAGGAGGGAAGAGAUUCAGUGGCACUGGACAGUAACAAAGCAGAUAAAGUGACUUGGGAAAUGGCUAUGCAGGAGCCUAUCCUGGUUACAGGCCUGCAAGAGACAGCCACUGGGAACUGGGAUUGGACUAAGGAAUGGCCUCACUUAGAAUGUACAACAGAAGAAAAGGCCCAAAUUGCUUCAAUGAAAAAAAAAAAAAAAGACAAUGGCACACUUGAGGGGAAAGCUAUACUCCCCAGAGGGGGGGGAAAAAGACUCAUUUUGCCAAAUACAGAAAUGGACUCAUUUAGGAGAUAAGAAGUUUGUCCAAGUAGUUAAGGUGUAUGUAACAGACUUUAAGAUUUUAGCCAGAGAGACAAUAGAAAGUAUAAGGUAUGUCAAUAAGUGAAUGCUUAGCAAGCAAACAGGGAAAAGAGACCUAGAGAAUUUAGUGAAAAGUCGAAGUGAACUUCACUGAGAUAAAACCAGAAAAAUAUAAUCACAAGUAUCUCCUAGUGCUUGUAGGUAAUUUUUCAGGAAUAGAUAGAAGCUUUCCUCACCAAAUGAGAGACGGCCUCUGCAAUCAUCAAGAAGAUACUGGAAGAAAUCUUCCCCCGAUUUGGAAUGCCCAAGGUAAUCUGGUCAGACAAAGGCCCUACUUUCGUUGCCAAGGUAAGCCAGGGUGUGGCCAAGUAUUUAGAGGUCAAUUAAAAAUUACAUUGUAUUUACAGACCUCAAAGUUCAUGAAAGACAGGUAGAGUAAAUAAAUAAAACUCUAAAAGAGACCCUGAACAAAUUGACCAUGGAGACUGGCACAGACUGGGUGGCACUCCUUCCUUCUUGCUCUCUUCAGAGCAAGAAAUACCCCUUCCAGAUUCAGCCUUACCCCCUUUGAGAUCUUAUAUGGGGCCCCAGCCCCCACCCCCUGACUGUAUUAGAUGAUGUUACUGAACUAACAUGUCAUAGUGCCAUAGUAAUAAUGAUUUGUGUGCCAGGCUAAAAGACCUACAGGUGAUACAGAAAGAAAUCUGCUCACAGCUGACAGCAGCCUAUGCUGCGGAGACCCCUGAGACAUCUCAUCGGUCAUCAGUUCCAGGAGACUGUAGCUACACUGAGCCCAGACACUCGAGCCUCGCUGGAAAGGACUGUACCUGGUGCUGCUGACCACCCUGACAGUUGUCAAUUCUCAGCCCUCACCAGCCGUGUACUAGCUGUUGGGGCUGAGAGCUGGGACCUAGAGGGAAAUUCAGUCAUGUUUGUCCUGGGUUCUAUCAAGAUAGGUGUGGGGAUAGGCUUGAUUUCCAUUACAAAUGAUGUAACAUUACAUAUGUUAGUACUCUUAAUACUUCUUGGGACUGUGCCUCAGGGAUCACAGUCUGUAUAAGCUUAGAAGUUCUAAAAGCUAGUCAUGACCUUGGUGUUUAGGCUUGGAUAGUGUCCAGAUUAGAAUCCUCAUGUUAAGACAACAAUACCAAGCUGUUAUGCUAGAUGAAGCUGAGUUCUCCAUGAAGUUCUAAGAUUAGAACUAUUAACAAAAAAGAAGUGGGGAAUGUAGAACUAGAGUUUCAUAAAGGUUACUCAUUGUCAGAGCCCGAAUGUGCAGAACUAGAGUUUCAUAAAGGUUGCUCAUUGUCAGAGUCCGGAUGUGCAGGGCCGGACGUGCCUGAGGGAGAGCCAGAGAUAGGACUUGCCAAACCAGCUAUCAGCCCCAAGGACACUGACCAUCCGUAGCCACCCCCUCCCCUUCCUUCACCCCCCUGAGUGAGAUGAGCCACUCUAACUGCCUGCCGAGCUGCUAGAUAACACAUACUCCUUGCUGAUGUCAUUUCGCGCCGAAAGUAACCGUGCACCUUUUGAAUUGACCAAUCAUGUGUAACUGCGCGAAUGCCCCUUACCUCCCCUAUAUAAACCCCCGAGUUUGGAAGCUCGGGGUCGAUUCCUCUGUCUCCUGUGUGAGAUGCGUGUCGACCUGGGAUCCCCCUAAGACCCAGAAUCUCGUAAAUAAAGCUACCUCGUGCUUUUACAUCAAGAAUGGCUACUCGUGAUUCCUGGGGGCACCCCACCCCGCGAUUGGAGCGAGAGACGCGGCUCCCCGUUUUGGGGUACGCUCUUUCAGCCCCACAGGAAAAACAGCAAUAUCAACCAACCAGACACCCCAGAGUCCCAGGGACUAAACCACCAACCAAAGAGUAUACAUGGAGUGACCCAUGGAUCGAGCUGCAUAUGUAAUGGAGGAUGGCCUUGUUGGGCAUCAAUGGGAGGAGAGUUCCUUGGUCAUGUGAGGGCUUGAUGCUCCAGUGAGGGGAAUGCUGCCAGGGCAGGGAGGCGGGAAAGAGUGGGUAGGUGGGUGAGGAAGCACCCUUAUAGAAGCAGGGGGAGGGAGGAUGGGGAUUUCCAGAGGGGAAACCAGGAAACAGGAUAACAUUCAAAAUGUAAAUAAAGAAAAUAUCCAAUAAAAAGAAAAAAAAAAGAAAUACCCAAGUUAAUAAAGAUGAAAAGAGAGAGAGAGAGAGAGAACUUAGUCCAACUUUAAUUUCUCUUUAUGCUUGUACUCUUCUCCCUUUCUCUGAUGCCUUUCUAUUUUCUUUCUUUCUUCCUUUCUUCCUUUCUUUCUUUCUUCCUUCCUUCCUUCCUUCCUUCCUUCCUUUCUUCCUUUCUUUCUUUCUUUCUUUCUUUCUUUCUUUCUUUCUUUCUUUUCUCAUAAGCCUGUGAAUUUGAAUCUAUCUUGGUCUAAAAGGGGAGAGUUCAGUGCUGUUAGGAGAAAUACUGCCUGAGGCAGGAGGUGUGGGUGCAUCAGAGAAGUGUUCACAUUUAAAGCAGAUGCUAAAGACAAUGUGGUGGCACCCUUUUGUGAUCUAGCAAGCAGCUAAAAAAGGAGAAGCAACACUUGUAGAGUACAGUGGGCUUUAUAAGUGUCUCAGAACAAAGAAUCACUCACACCUACACCCACACCCACACCCACACAAAACAACCCACAAACAAACAAACAAAAAACAAAAAAAAACAUAAAACAAAAAAAGAUGGGAGAAUUGGGUAUUUUAACCAUUUUACUUUGGAAUCUUGACAUGACUUUAUGGACAUUGUUUCUAUGAAAUAGUUUUUGUGGAAUUUUGGGGGUGGGGCACUGGGCAGGUGUAAUUAGGUAAAUGAUUCAAUUGCCUGGAACCCUACAGGGAGAAAAGCAAAUACUUUAUAAUGCCAAUGGCUUUGAUAUAACUUGGAAGCACAUUUCUCCAAAGCCUUACAUUCUUGGAAUUUUUUUGUUUCUUAUACUCACAGUAAGAAAUUCUUACUGUGUAGAUUAAAAUUUAUCUCUAGAUAAAUCAUUUUCAUAAUGUUUCAAGUACUGAGGAAAAGAGUACUAGCAUAUUCUUUGUGGUCUAAGGCACCCCCCUUUGAGAAUAAGAGGAUACUAUCAAUAAUUACACCAAACAACAAGUAUAAUAUACUGUACCUCAAAUAAGGCCUCAGUUGUCACCAUUUUUUCCCUGAAAAUAGUUUUCUGCUAACUUUACAGUAAAGACAAUAGUAAUGCCCACUGGGUAGCUAUCAAAACAGAUUUCAAAUAAAAAUAUCCUUUAGAACUAGGAACCAUUAGCUUCAUCUCUUCUUUUUAAAAUUUAUUAUGUAUUUUUAAAUUAUGCAAGUGGCGGUGGUUUGUGUAUAUGAAAGAAGUGUUACAGACUGGUUUUAGAGCUUUGAUUCAAUCAGGAAUCUGCAUGCCCAGAUGCUGAAAGUCCUUGUGACUAAUUGGCUUUUGAUCUGUCAAUAAAGAUGCCAACAGACAAUAGCUGGCAUGAGGAGGAGCACUGCAAGUUUUCCUUGGUAGGGCACAGAGAGGAAUUGGAGAAUCUCCAUGACUGUUUAGAAGGAUGAGAUUCAGAAGCAACAGGAAAUAAGGCCAACCAGCAAUGUGAGAAUGCAGGUAAGUGGCCACUGGCCACUUCCCCAAUUGGGCCUGGGGUAGCAGGGGAAAGUUUAAGAAUGUCCAACCUUUAAGGUAGCUAAGGCAUUUUUAAAAGUAACCUUGUGUGUGUGUGUGUGUGUGUGUGUGUGUGUGUGUGUGUGUGUGUGUGUGUGUGUGUUUAAUUCGAGGAUCCAAAAAUAGCUCCUGGGCAGGUGUUCACAUGUGAUCUACCAGGAGCCAAAGUGGUGUAGUGGUGUAGCAAAAAUCUCACUGGAACAGUACAGUGUCAGAGGAGAUCUAAAGGGGGUAUCGGAUUUAUUGGAGCUGGCGUUAACUGUGAUUGUGAGUUGUUUGAUAUGGGUGCUAAAUUUGAUUUAAGUGAGCAUGGCAAAAUACUCUUUUAUUCCAUCUUUAAUAGAUAUUUGAUUAUCAGUUUGGGGUCAGCACAAAUGAUAAAUCUAAGAAGUAGUCUUUUUCACUAUUCAAGAUACACAAAAAUAAGAAAAUCCAAGGAGAAAAUAUACUUCACUGUAGUAGAACUAUUUUAAACUAACUACUAGCUUACUCCUAAAUGAGACAGUUCUUUUAUUUGGCUUUAACAAUUACCAGAGGAUAAUUCCUAAUCCACCCUUCUAACUGCUGACCUAUUUACCUCCCCAGCAGAGAACUGCAAUUACUUGCUCUUUCUUCUGACCAUGUGAUCAUGGUCCAUCUCCCCUCAUGCUGGCUUCUUCUACUCUCUUUAUCUGUUCUUCCUUCUCCCUUUUCUCCACCCCAGGCAGAUAAUUCAAAACCUACCUACUCAUAAUUCUUCCAGUAAUUGUCUGUAGUUUUAAAUUAAGGAACAAGAUUUGCACAGAAAAAGCUUGUAAAUAUGAGAAUUCAUUAUAGGCCUAGAACUUUGAGUGUAGAAUUUAGAAUUACAAUGCAUAGCAACAGAGUAAACCUCACUAUUGGCACUUAAGGUGAACAGCUCUAUGACAUGACGUGUUUCUGUGUGAUGAUUUCCACACUUACAACCUGUUCAAAUUGAUAGUUCUCAGGUUCCACAGCAGCCAGAUCUGAUAAAUUAGAAAGUCUAGAGGUGGAGCCUAUCAAUCUUUGAUCAGCCCUCUAUGUUGCUUGAUACAAGCCAUGGGAGUAAACUGGGCUGUACACAGAAGGUGAUAAAAAAAAAAUCUUAAAAACCAAUCCUAGGAUCAUUGUUCAGGAUAUUCUAACAUUAACUAUGACUGGGCUACCAAAAUGAAAACUAUGAAAUUGAGUCUAAGUACUUGCCUGUGGAUGUGAAGGACCAGAGGAGAAUUUUGGGACUCCAAUGACCUACUGAUCUGUAAGCUCCAAGCAGAGACAGAUAUCCAGAGCUUUGAAGAAGGACUCUCUGGUCUCCACAGCGAGGCGAGGAACCUGAUGGAGAACUCAAAUUUAGACUCUCUGUUUAUAAUGCCUUCAGGAUUCUGCACUUCUCCCCCUUGCUGCAUGAGGAAGCCUCUCUAACGAUGUCUGGACAUUGCACCAUUUUGAAAAAAGAGAACUUCAGACAACUUCACUCAGAUUUUCUACAAACUUUUAGCAGAAAUGGCUAUUAAGGAGAAAUGAAAACCUCUCUAUCUGGCUGUGUCAGCACUUGACAGUGUGGCUAUGCAGAAAACUGGAUAGAAGCAUCAGACCUACAAAGAGACUAGAUAUGCUCUGCAUAGAAAUGAGGUUCAGAGCUGAAAAAGAGAACUCUACCAGUAACUUCAGGAAAAUGUGUGUUAGUGCAUCUCCUACAAGGAAAAGUCAAUCCAUUUCUGCUUCAAUCAAAUAGUUAAAAAUAGCAUGAACUGAUGUUUUGAUUAUCUAAUUAACUUAAUUAUUUUCUUACAUACAUAAGUUUGACAUUUUCCUGGAUGACUUACAGCUUUCUUUUCAACUAGGAAAAAAUGUAUAUCUUCGUUUCCCUUUUCUGUGACUUUUAUAAUUACUACAAUUAUUAAUGAAGUUAUUUUUAAUUCACAGAGAUACCAGAGGUCCAAUUUUCUUAGAAACAUAAAAAACUGAUCUCAUUAUCAUCACAAGUAUUGCAGAAAGAAUUUUAUUCAAUACAUUCCUUCAAAAAUUCAGAUGACUCUCUGCUCCUAGACCCGGUGAGAGAGAGACCCAACCGCCUGGUCAGGUGGGCACUCCUGAGGCUGCAGAGCGGAAGAGACCACCAACACUGCUCACCCCUGCCCACAUCCCUGGCCCAAGAGGAAACUGUAUAAGGCCUCUGGGCUCCCGUGGGGGAGGGCCCAGGAACGGCAGGACACCUGCCUGAGACACCGCCGGAACCUGAAAGAAACAGACCGGAUAAACAGUUCUCUGCACCCAAAUCCUGUGGGAGGGAGAGCUAAACCUUCAGAGAGGCAGACAAGCCUGGGAAACCAGAAGAGACUGCUCCCUGCACACACAUCUCGGACGCCAGAGGAAAAAGCCAAAGACCAUCUGGAAUCCUGGUGCACUGAAGCUCCUGGAAGGGGCGGCACAGGCCUUCCUGGUUGCUGCCGCUGCAGAGAGCCCCUGGGCAGCACCCCACGAGCGAACCUGAGCCUCGGGACCACAGGUAAGACCAAAUUUUCUGCUGCAAGAAAGCUGCCUGGUAAACUCAAGACACAGGCCCACAGGAACAGCUGAAGACCUGUAGAGAGGAAAAACUACACGCCCGAAAGCAGAACACUCUGUCCCCAUAACUGACUGAAAGAGAGGAAAACAGGUCUACAGCACUCCUGACACACAGGCUUAUAGGACAGUCUAGCCACUGUCAGAAAUAGCAGAACAAAGUAACACUAGAGAUAAUCUGAUGGCGAGAGGCAAGCGCAGGAACCCAAGCAACAGAAACCAAGACUACAUGCCAUCAUCAGAGCCCAAUUCUCCCACCAAAACAAACAUGGAAUAUCCAAACACACCAGAAAAGCAAGAUCUAGUUUCAAAAUCAUAUUUGAUCAUGAUGCUGGAGGACUUCAAGAAAGACAUAAACACACUUAGGGAAACACAGGAAAACAUUAAUAAACAAGUAGAAGCCUACAGAGAGGAAUCGCAAAAAUCCCUGAAAGAAUUCCAGGAAAACACAAUCAAACAGUUGAAGGAAUUAAAAAUGGAAAUAGAAGCAAUCAAGAAAGAACACAUGGAAACAACCCUGGAUAUAGAAAACCAAAAGAAGAGACAAGGAGCUAUAGAUACAAGCUUCACCAACAGAAUACAAGAGAUGGAAGAAUCUCAGGAGCAGAAGAUUCCAUAGAAAUCAUUGACUCAACUGUCAAAGAUAAUGUAAAGCGGAAAAAGGUACUGGUCCAAAACAUACAGGAAAUCCAGGACUCAAUGAGAAGACCAAACCAAAGGAUAAUAGGUAUAGAAGAGAGUGAAGACUCCCAGCUCAAAGGACCAGUAAAUAUCUUCAACAAAAUCAUAGAAGAAAACUUCCCUAACCUAAAAAAAGAGAUACCCAUAGACAUACAAGAAGCCUACAGAACUCCAAAUAGAUUGGACCAGAAAAGAAAUACCUCCCGUCACAUAAUUGUCAAAACACCAAACGCACAAAAUAAAGAAAGAAUAUUAAAAGCAGUAAGGGAAAAAGGUCAAGUAACAUAUAAAGGGAGACCUAUCAGAAUCACACCAGACUUCUCGCCAGAAACUAUGAAGGCCAGAAGAUCCUGGACUGAUGUCAUACAGACCCUAAGAGAACACAAAUGCCAGCCCAGGUUACUGUAUCCUGCAAAACUCUCAAUUAACAUUGAUGGAGAAACCAAGAUAUUCCAUGACAAAACCAAAUUUACACAAUAUCUUUCUACAAAUCCAGCACUACAAAGGAUAAUAAAUGGUAAAGCCCAACAUAAGGAGGCAAGCUAUACCCUAGAAGAAGCAAGAAACUAAUCGUCUUGGCAACAAAACAAAGAGAAUGAAAGCACACAAACAUAACCUCACAUCCAAACAUGAAUAUAAAGGGAAACAAUAAUCACUAUUCCUUAAUAUCUCUCAAUAUCAAUGGCCUCAACUCCCCAAUAAAAAGACAUAGAUUAACAAACUGGAUACGCAACGAGGACCCUGCAUUCUGCUGCCUACAGGAAACACACCUCAGAGACAAAGACAGACACUACCUCAGAGUGAAAGGCUGGAAAACAACUUUCCAAGCAAAUGGUCAGAAGAAGCAAGCUGGAGUAGCCAUUCUAAUAUCAAAUAAAAUCA